GACGAACGCUGGCGGCGUGCUUAACACAUGCAAGUCGAACGGAAAGGCCCUGCUUUUGUGGGGUGCUCGAGUGGCGAACGGGUGAGUAACACGUGAGUAACCUGCCCCUGACUUUGGGAUAACUUCAGGAAACUGGGGCUAAUACCGGAUAGGAGCUCCUGCUGCAUGGUGGGGGUUGGAAAGUUUCGGCGGUUGGGGAUGGACUCGCGGCUUAUCAGCUUGUUGGUGGGGUAGUGGCUUACCAAGGCUUUGACGGGUAGCCGGCCUGAGAGGGUGACCGGCCACAUUGGGACUGAGAUACGGCCCAGACUCCUACGGGAGGCAGCAGUGGGGAAUAUUGCACAAUGGGCGGAAGCCUGAUGCAGCUACGCCGCGUGCGGGAUGACGGCCUUCGGGUUGUAAACCGCUUUCGCCUGUGACGAAGCGUGAGUGACGGUAAUGGGUAAAGAAGCACCGGCUAACUACGUG
rnacentral:rRNA from 1 species